GCUUGCUUUUCUCCUGUUCUCUUUAUCUUCUUGCCUUUGGUCUUGCGUUGUAGUUGCGGUGUUGGUUCAAGCAAGCUUUAACUGGUCUAGUUUGCAAGAGCUUCGAGUGCAAUUCCCGAUACAAACACCCCUCUCCUCCCGGUGUGACCUCGUCAGCUUCUUUCCUGGCAAAUACUUGAACAAUGUUUGGAAUAUUAUUUGACAAGCAAGGAGGAGAGAAUUAUUUUUACUGCUGUCAGCACGCGAGCAGUGGCAAAUAACUCAAGCUGUCUUCUGGAGCUGUGGCACUAGGCUUGUGGGCCGUCGUAUUUGCCCAUAACGGAGAAACUCGCGGAAUACGUUAUGUGCUGACGACCUCUGUUCUACUGCUCAAGUAUCUGCUUUUAUAAUUGGUGUACAGGCCAACUCUUGACUCCUUUCCAAGUACGAUGCCACUUGGGCUUAGCGGUCCCUGCAUAAAGUGGAAUCCUCUCCGUAUCGGACAAAUUUUCACGCACGGAUGGGCUGCCAUAGAAAACUCACCGCAGCAAGCGGAAUACUGUCGAACGUGGAAAGCAGAACGGAUUUCAUGCACAGGAAACAGUGAACGGGGCAUUCAAAUUUAUGAGAUGGU